UGGUCGCACGUCGCGACUCAGUACAUAUCCGCGAGCAGCGGCGUUCGAAUCGAAGCCGCGAGACACAACCAACAUUUUUAAAUCACCAAGAGAUUACUCAUUUUUAGCGUGUGAAUGUGAUCAUACAGUUGCACGAUCUAGAAAUAUAAUUCGAAAAGUCCAAAGUGCGGAUGUACUAAUUUUUAAACCAGCAAAACAAAAAACUUUUAAAUUUUUGGAAAGAAGAAAAAAUUAAAAUAAUUAAAAUGUGGCUGAGUGUUAUAUCGAUAGUCCUCGUGAGUUCCUUCGUUCACAAUGUCCAAGCGGCACCCAUCAAUGACAAUUCAGCACUAUUAUAUCUCUCACAAUUUGGAUACAUACCAAAAUCAAGAUUUAAUUCGAGUGCCAUUGUGGAUCAUGAUAAAUUCUCAUCAGCCAUUGCAGAUUUUCAAAGUUUCGCUGGAUUAAACGUCACUGGUUCUUUGGACGAUGAAACCGUUCAAACUAUGAGUCUUCCCAGGUGUGGUGUACAAGAUAAAGUCGGUACAGGAAAUGACAAGCGUUCCAAGCGUUAUGCGCUGCAAGGCAGCAGAUGGAAGGUGAAGGACUUGGUGUUCAAAAUUACCAAGUAUCCGAAAAAAUUAAAGCGCAACGACGUAGAUAAAGCCAUCCAGACAGCUUUCAAUGUUUGGUCAAGGUAUACAGACCUCACAUUCACGCCGUCAAGCAGGGCGCCAUCUUCUAGGGUGCACAUCGAAAUCCGUUUUGAGGCUGGUGAGCAUGGCGAUGGUGAUCCUUUUGAUGGACCAGGCGGUACCUUGGCUCAUGCUUAUUUCCCGGUUUAUGGCGGUGAUGCUCAUUUUGAUGCCGAAGAGAUCUGGACUAUUGGUGAAUAUAAGGGAACUAGUCUCCUUCAGGUGGCUUCUCAUGAGUUUGGGCAUUCUCUUGGUUUGAGCCAUUCGGACGUGCGAGAAGCCUUAAUGGCACCUUUCUAUCGAGGCUAUGAUCCAAAUUUCGAUUUGGAUGAUGAUGAUGUACAAGCUAUACAGGCAUUGUACGGUAAGAAAACGCAAAAGACAAGCAAAGGCGGUGGAAGUCCUUCAUGGGGCAGUAGUGAUGAUGAUUCGACCAACAGUCCAUCGGCACCUGGGCCUACCAGCAAUAAAUUAUGCAAAGAUUCCAAAAUUGACACUAUCUUUAACUCCCAUGACGGUAGGACGUUUGUUUUCAAAGGUGAUGAAUACUAUCAAUUGACUGAAGAUAGUGUCCUGAAUGGUUACCCAAAGAAAAUUGCUCAAAGCUGGCCAGGGCUCCCAGGAAACAUUGAUGCUGCCUUUACCUAUAAAAACGGAAAGACGUACUUCUUUAAAGGAAAACAAUACUGGCGAUAUGUUGAUAGCAAAAUGGACGGCAACUAUCCCAAGGAUAUUAGUGUUGGAUUUGCUGGUAUUCCUGAUGACAUUGAUGCAGCAACAGUCUGGACAGGAAAUGGUAAAAUAUAUUUCUACAAAGGUUCCAAAUUCUGGCGAUUUGAUCCAACACUGCACCCACCUGUAAAGUCCGCUUACCCGAAACCAAUCUCCAAUUGGCAAGGCCUACCGAACGGUUUGGACGCUGCCUUCAAGGACAAAAAUGGCUACACAUAUUUCUUCAAGGACAACGCAUACUACCGCUUCAAUGAUCGUGCCUUCGCCGUAGAAAACACCAAUCCUGCCUUCCCACGUUCCACCGCUCACUGGUGGUUCGGGUGCAAAGAAGCACCACGUGGCACGAUAGGUACCCUUGGUUUUAUAAGCGAGGCGGAUGAGAGCGACGACAGCAACAAUUCACCCGGAGACUUCGAUAGCUCUUUGGACGCAGUUUUACGACGACUUGGUUGGACUAAACGUGGACGUGGAUAUAUUCCAGAGUACAAAUACCGUCCAGCCAGCGGACAUUAGAAUUGCGACACAUCACACACUCUUAUCCAUAAUCGACAAGAAGUGCGUUCGUUUGAUAUGUAUUUAUCACGCGGAUGGAGCACCCCGUGCACCCGAUUCGGGAUCUCAUCAACUCGCCGCAUCGUGUACCCUUACGGCGAUCGUAUCGUUUUUAGUACUGUUUUUCCUUAAGUCUGCGUAACACAUAAAAUGGACGGGCGACGACGUCUCGGUUUCGUUUUGUAAACGACUGACUAUUUUUAAUAAUCGUGUGAUCUUAACCCAACACACGUUUGUGCACUUUGGUGCCCCAGUCGGGUUUGGACAACUAACGUCAGGUUAAUGUGAAUGCGAAGGUGAAGAUGUGGAAGAAGAAGCUGGCAUCUGAUACGUAUUAUGUGAUGUAAUAAAAUGCUCGAUUGGGUCCGGGAUGCUAAACAUGGUGUGUUCGAAAGUAUAUAUUUUUAAUACUGCCCGCGGGGGCACGACCAAGUUGUUGCUGUUGUCUCAUAUGAUAGCAAGCAACGAUUGAUUUGUUAAUGACUAUUUGUACGACAUAUUUUUAGUAGGUAUUAUUAACUCCUGUGUAAAUAUUAAUGAAUAAAGAGCGUAAAUGAA